AUGAUCUUCACCAUGGCCUGGUCCCCUCUCCUCCUCAGCCUCCUUGCUCACUGCACAGGGUCCUGGGCCCAGUCUGUGCUGACUCAGCCGGCCUCAGUGUCCGGGUCCCUGGGCCAGAGGGUCACCAUCUCCUGCACUGGAAGCAGCUCCAACAUCGGUGGUAAUUAUGUGGGCUGGUACCAACAGCUCCCAGGAAUAGGCCCCAGAACCGUCAUCUACUAUGAUAGUAGCCGACCCUCAGGGGUCCCCGAUCGAUUCUCUGGCUCCAAGUCAGGCAGCACAGCCACCCUGACCAUCUCUGGGCUUCAGGCUGAGGACGAGGCUGAGUAUUACUGCUCAUCAUGGGAUGAUAGUCUCAGAGGUCACACGGUGCUCCAGGCCUGUGGGGAAGUGAGACAAAAACCCACUUACCGGUCUGCAAAGUGA